UGUGGGUGAACGUCGGGGCCUGCUUCCGGGGAGCAGCCGGCUCCUUCCCUCAGACCGUCAAAGAGGUCAAGUCUCUCAGAGCAUGAAGCUGUUUGGCCGAAGGGAACCCCCGGGAGUUCGCCACUUCGAGGGGGUGACCAGAAGGCCGGAGAGAUUUAACCCGUGACGUGCUUUCAAACCAGAUAAUCCUGCAGGUAAUUAUGUUAGAAAGGGUUUUUUUGGUUUGUUUGUUUUUAAGAUUGCAUUUAUUAUUUGACGGAGAG
rnacentral:lncRNA from 1 species